AGGGAAUCUUCCACAAUGGACGCAAGUCUGAUGGAGCAACGCCGCGUGAGUGAAGAAGGCUUUCGGGUCGUAAAACUCUGUUAUUGAAGAAGAACGUGUGUGACAGUAACUGGUCAUGCAGUGACGGUAUUCAAUCAGAAAGUCACGGCUAACUACGUGCCAGCAGCCGCGGUAAUACGUAGGUGGCAAGCGUUGUCCGGAUUUAUUGGGCG
rnacentral:rRNA from 1 species